rnacentral:rRNA from 1 species
CCUACGGGAGGCAGCAGUGGGGGAUAUUGCACAAUGGGGGAAACCCUGAUGCAGCGACGCCGCGUGGGUGAAGAAGCGCCUCGGCGCGUAAAGCCCUGUCAGCAGGGAAGAAAAUGACAGUACCUGAAGAAGAAGCCCCGGCUAACUACGUGCCAGCAGCCGCGGUAAUACGUAGGGGGCAAGCGUUAUCCGGAUUUACUGGGUGUAAAGGGGGCGCAGACGGCGAUGCAAGCCAGGAGUGAAAGCCCGGGGCCCAACCCCGGGACUGCUCUUGGAACUGCGUGGCUAGAGUGCAGGAGGGGCAGGCGGAAGUCCUGGUGGAGCGGUGAAAUGCGUAGAUAUCAGGAGGAACACCGGUGGCGAAGGCGGCCUGCUGGACUGCAACUGACGUUGAGGCCCGAAAGCGUGGGGAGCAAACAGGAUUAGAUACCCGGGUAGUC